CUGGCGGCGUGCCUAAUACAUGCAAGUCGAGACGGGACAGAUGGGAGCUUGCUCCCUGGAUGUUAGCGGCGGNACGGGNUGNAGUAACACGUGGGUAACCUGCCUGUAAGACUGGGUAUAACUCCGGGAAACCGGGGCUAAUACCGGAUGGUUGUUUGAACCGCAUGGUUCAGACAUAAAAGGUGGCUUCGGCUACCACUUACAGAUGGACCCGCGGCGCANUAGCUAGUUGGUGAGGUAACGGCUCACCAAGGCAACGAUGCGUAGCCGACCUGAGAGGGUGAUCGGCCACACUGGGACUGAGACACGGCCCAUACUCCUACCGGAGGCAGCAUUNGGGAAUCUUCCGCAAUGGACGAAAGUCUGACGGANCANCGCCUCGUGAGUGAUGAAGGUUUUCGGAUCGUAAAGCUCUUUUGUUAGGGAAGAACAAGUGCCGUUCANAUAGGGCGGCACCUUGACGGUACCUAACCAGAAAGCCNCNGNUAAAUACUUGCCAGCNGCCGCGGUAAUACCUAGGUGGCAGCCGUUGUCCGGAAUUAUUGGGCGUAAAGGGCUCGCAGGCGGUUUCUUAAGUCUGAUGUGAAAGCCCCCGGCUCAACCGGGGAGGGUCAUUGGAAACUGGGGAACUUGAGUGCA
rnacentral:rRNA from 1 species